rnacentral:rRNA from 1 species
CCCUUAGAGUUUGAUCCUGGCUCAGAAUGAACGUUGGCGGCGUGGAUUAGGCAUGCAAGUCGAGCGAGAACCCCGCAAGGGGGGACAGCGGCAAACGGGGUAGUAAUGUGUCGGAACGUGCCCAGAGGACGGGGAUAGCGGCGGGAAACUGCCGGUAAUACCCGAUGAUCUCGAGAGAGCAAAGGUGUGAUUCCGCCUUUGGAGCGGCCGACAUGGUAUUAGCUAGUUGGUGGGGUAACGGCCCACCAAGGCUGUGAUGCCUAGGGGAUGUGAGAGCAUGAUCCCCACCAUUGGGACUGAGACACUGCCCAGACACCUACGGGUGGCUGCAGUCGAGAAUCUUCGUCAAUGGGCGAAAGCCUGAACGAGCGACGCCGCGUGCGGGAUGAAGGCCCUUGGGUUGUAAACCGCUGUCGAGGGGGAUGAAGGCUUGAAAGUCAUCUUUCAAGUUUGACAGAGCCCUGGAGGAAGCACGGGCUAAGUUCGUGCCAGCAGCCGCGGUAAUACGAACUGUGCGAACGUUAUUCGGAAUCACUGGGCUUACAGGGUGCGUAGGCGGCUUAGCAAGUCAGGUGUGAAAGCCCCCGGCUCAACCGGGGAACUGCGCUUGAAACUGCUGAGCUCGAGUCAACUAGAGGUGCACGGAACUUCCAGUGGAGCGGUGAAAUGUGUUGAUAUUGGAAGGAACACCGGAGGCGAAAGCGGUGCCCCUGGGGUUGGUCUGACGCUGAGCACGAAAGCCAGGGGAGCGAACGGGAUAGAUACCCCGGUAGUCCUGGCCGUAAACGAUGA